GAGUUUGAUUAUGGCUCAGGACGAACGCUGGCGGCGUGCCUAACACAUGCAAGUCGAGCGGUAAGGCCCUUUCGGGGUACACGAGCGGCGAACGGGUGAGUAACACGUGGGCAACCUGCCCUGCACACUGGGAUAAGCCUGGGAAACUAGGUCUAAUACCGGAUACGACCCUCAAGGGCAUCCAUGAGGGUGGAAAGUUCCGGCGGUGCAGGAUGGGCCCGCGGCCUAUCAGCUUGUUGGUGGGGUAACGGCCUACCAAGGCGACGACGGGUAGCCGGCCUGAGAGGGCGACCGGCCACACUGGGACUGAGACACGGCCCAGACUCCUACGGGAGGCAGCAGUGGGGAAUAUUGCUCAAUGGGCGCAAGCCUGAAGCAGCGACGCCGCGUGAGGGAUGACGGCCUUCGGGUUGUAAACCUCUUUCAGCAGGGACGAAGCGUAAGUGACGGUACCUGCAGAAGAAGCACCGGCCAACUACGUGCCAGCAGCCGCGGUAAUACGUAGGGUGCGAGCGUUGUCCGGAAUUAUUGGGCGUAAAGAGCUCGUAGGCGGUCUGUUGCGUCGGCUGUGAAAACUCGGGGCUCAACCCCGAGCCUGCAGCCGAUACGGGCAGACUAGAGUUCGGCAGGGGAGACUGGAAUUCCUGGUGUAGCGGUGAAAUGCGCAGAUAUCAGGAGGAACACCGGUGGCGAAGGCGGGUCUCUGGGCCGAUACUGACGCUGAGGAGCGAAAGCGUGGGGAGCGAACAGGAUUAGAUACCCUGGUAGUCCACGCCGUAAACGGUGGGCGCUAGGUGUGGGGGUCCUUCCACGGCCUCCGUGCCGCAGCUAACGCAUUAAGCGCCCCGCCUGGGGAGUACGGCCGCAAGGCUAAAACUCAAAUGAAUUGACGGGG
rnacentral:rRNA from 1 species